AUUGAACGCUGGCGGCAGGCCUAACACAUGCAAGUCGAACGGUAACAGGAAGAAGCUUGCUUCUUUGCUGACGAGUGGCGGACGGGUGAGUAAUGUCUGGGAAACUGCCUGAUGGAGGGGGAUAACUACUGGAAACGGUAGCUAAUACCGCAUAACGUCGCAAGACCAAAGAGGGGGACCUUCGGGCCUCUUGCCAUCGGAUGUGCCCAGAUGGGAUUAGCUAGUAGGUGGGGUAACGGCUCACCUAGGCGACGAUCCCUAGCUGGUCUGAGAGGAUGACCAGCCACACUGGAACUGAGACACGGUCCAGACUCCUACGGGAGGCAGCAGUGGGGAAUAUUGCACAAUGGGCGCAAGCCUGAUGCAGCCAUGCCGCGUGUAUGAAGAAGGCCUUCGGGUUGUAAAGUCCUUUCAGCGGGGAGGAAGGGAGUAAAGUUAAUACCUUUGCUCAUUGACGUUACCCGCAGAAGAAGCACCGGCUAACUCCGUG
rnacentral:rRNA from 1 species